CAGACACACCUACCAUAUCAAAACCAACACAGACACACUCACGUAUCUAGGCGUCAGACUCACAGCGGAUCACAGCACACUAUUUAAACAUAAUUACACUCCACUGAUCACGAAACUCAAGACGGACUUGGAAACUUGGACAGACAAACCCAUCACGUGGAUAGGUCGCCUACACUCCAUAAAAAUGAACCUUUUACCAAGACUGCUAUCCCUAUUCCAAGCACUCCCGACUCGAGUGACCAAGAGUG